AACUAUUUGUACAUUUAAACCCAAACAUUAUCUAGUACAUGUAUAUGUUUGAUAACGUUACAUUAAGUUAGUUAAAUCUUACCAUGAAUAUUUCGUCAUUUCUGGAUACAAUACUAUUAAUCAGCUCUUUUAGCUGCGUCCAUUCUUUGGUGUGCUAUUCAUGCAGUGAUUUAAAAAGCAACGAGGAGUGUUUCAACACCACUAUUUGUCCGGAUGGAGAGGCCUGCUAUGGUCGAGCGGAUGGAUUCUUGACAUCGGAAGUGAAACACACAACUGGAUGCACCAAGGAGCUUAAGCCACAACAAAGACAUGAUACACUGGGGUUUUCUUUCUGUGCACAAGCAUGUCAUGACGAUCUAUGCAACUUGCACAGCUGCCAACUCGCAGACAAUUCAACAAAGCCUCCACGAUGUCUGUCCUGUGAUUCGGUAGAUUCUCCAAGUCAGUGCAAGAACGUCAUUCAAUGUUAAUCUAAUGAGGUUUGUUUCUCAGAAAAGGUGUUUACAUUUCAUAGAGUUGUUUACAGAUUUGGUUGUGUCAGUGAAAAGGACUGCAACACCCAACCUGUGAAUAUGGCUCCUAUUAUUGGAAAGCGGAGUGAUGAAAAAUCUUGUUCAGUGUGUUGCAAAACGGACCAUUGUAAUCUGAAAGCUUGCAGCAAUAACCCAGCAGGGCAUAUUUUUCCACUCGGACCAAUUUCAUCCGAUUUGUGUAUCGACUACGACACUGCAUUGUGUUCAACAUUCGGUCGUCUUAACCCAGACGCAUGCAAAGAGCAAAUAGUACUGAAUAGAUGUCCAUCGUCCUGCGCUACUUGUGCUCAUGUUGUAUGGGGCUCGUGGCAACCAUGGAGUAACUGUUCGGCUCGUUGUGGGCUAGGUACUAGGAAACGAUCGAGAACAUGUCAUCGGCGUUUCAACUUUGUUGGGACUUGUGCUGGACCCUCGGUUAGCAGUGCGGCAUGUGAAGGACAGUACUGCCCAGUGAACGGUGGAUGGUUUUAUGGGCCAUAUGACGACUGCAAAGAGGUCGGCGGUUCAUGGCAAUUUCCUGUAGAGUGUACUCAAAAAAAGGCAUAACCACAUGUUCUUGUCCAUCGCCUCAAAACGGUGGUCUCCCAUGCAAAUAGAUUCGUAAAACAAUCGAGAUGUAAAUUUCAUCGUGUAAUGUUCAUAU